CUUCAACAUUCAGACCAAGGCAGUUCCCAAGACCUCUCUGUGAGGUCAGGGCAAGGAGAGCCUAUUCUUUCUUGCUUACAGGGUCACGGUGGGGCUUCACACCCGGUGACCUGCGGGUGACCACACAGUGAGUGCAAAGCAGGGCCUGAGUCACUGCCCCCAGCUGGCUUGGGUUGGUUCCUCCCCAGGCAAACGCCUUGGCGCCCCUCUUGGGCCGGAGCCUGCUAGGAUUACAGCUGAAUGCACUGGUUCGAAAGGAAGAAAGAAAAUCCCGCAAGUUAAGUAGAGUCAAUUCCUGUCCCCACACGGUGGGUCCCGGGCGGCUGUCGCUAACCCGCUUGCUGGCGAAGAAAGGAGCUUAUUAUGUGCGGGCGGAGAGGGGGGCCGGGAGGUGUUAAGCAGAGAAAACGGGUUGAAAUUCGAGUCCGGGCGAUGCUGGCAGCCCGGCGCCUGCUGUUAGACAGUCCGAUGAACCCUGAUAAACCCAGAGGCGCUUUCCCGCACCCCCGUGCAGCCCGGAAACUUCAGCACCCGGUGGAGAGGGGAGGGUGCCGGAGCAGGGUGCCGGCACAGGGGAGAGAGCUGCCUCCGGACCCCAGGCCGGGCCAUGCUCCUGGUUCUGGUGACAAUGACGUGGUCUGCACCGGAGGGUGCGUGGCUCCCGAGGACCCUGCAGAUGGAGCCACUUAAGGGCGCGACCUGGACAUGGACCCCUUUCUGGGACAUUGUCGGCUGCACCAUCCUCCCAGAGCAGCGGGAGAGGACCCAGGCAGGCUCACACAUACCCCCAUAUCCCCUUGCAGUCCGGGACCCUGGGGCAACCACCCUUCUCAGUAGCAUUCAGACUUCUGUGGUUCAUCCUGCCCAAGGAGAUGAAGGUGGGUAAUGCCACCCAACCCCAUGCUUCAUUAAGGAAGGUUAAAGCAGUGUCCUGAAGAGAGACGUACACCCAUGUUCGUAGCAGCAUUAUUCCAACAACCCAAGGUGGAAGCAGCCCAAAGUCCACCGAGGGACGAAUGGAUGAAUCGAAUGUGAUAUGUACCUGCAGCCUCAGAGAGGAAGGACACUGAUACACACAACAGGGUGGACGGGGUGGGGGGUGCUUUAUGCUAAGUGAAACGAGCCAGUCUCAGAAAGAUCCAUAUGGUAGACUCCACUUAUAGGAAGUACCAGGGUAGCAACAGACACAGGAAAGGGAGUGGUGGUUGGAGGGAUUGUGGGGAGGAAGAGGGAAGCUCAGGGGGGAACAGACUUCAGUGUUUCAAGAUGAAAAGGUUCUGGAGAUCUGUUGCAUGGCUACACUGAAGGUCCUUAAUUGUCACUGAAGUGUGUGCUGGAAAAUGGCUUAGCCAUGGUACAUUUUACAUUAUGUGGUUUUUACCAAGCAAAAAAGUGUGUGUGUGUGUGUGUGUGUGUGUGUGUGUGUGUGUGUGUGGGCGGGGGCGCGGCAGUAAGCACAGGGGACAAUAAAGCUUGAAAAAUUGCACAAUGAGAGAAAAUUACAGAUCAAACUCAUGGACAUUGAGGCAAAAUUUUUAGAUAUUUUUAACAGAAUCUCACUACAUUAAAAGAAUAACAUACAAAAAAUAAUUAAAAUGGUAAAUUUUAUGUUACAUAUUUUUUUACUGCAGUUUUUUAAACAAAAAUCCUCUACCCUCUCACCAAAAUCUUUAUGGGCUGAUCAAGACCCAGAGUGAAAAGGGUGAGCUGGGCAGCGGGGGCCAAACCAGUCGGCCUUACAGCCUGGGAAGUCCCAGGCAGGAUUGCAGAACUCUCCAGACCCUUCCUUCCAUCAGUGGGAUGGCAGGGUUAGGGGGGGGGCGUGGUCCCCAGAGCUUCACAUGCUACUGGGAUGUUGGUGACUCAUGGUUUGGCUUGGCACAAGGUGGAGACCAACUGCUUAGGCCAUCUGUGAGCAAAAGGGGACUCUAGGUUCCUUAGAGUCUUAAACAGAGGAAAAUGUUAUAGACAAAGUUCCUUGAGGGGUAGGGGAGAAAAUAAAAACGCAGAAAUGGAUCACAGAGAAAAGACAUUUUUGUAAUUCUAAAAGGAAAUGUUCACUGCUCUCCAGGCAGGUAAGGGAGCUCCUACCCUUCUGGUCCUUAUAGGCUAUGCUCCUUAUGAAAUGUUCACAUGCAGCAGCUGCCCCCAUCCUUCUUAAGUCACUCAGCUGUUGGCACAGAAGCCCUAUCGCAUCAUGUUUAAAAUUUCCACUUUUCUGAUCCUGUCUGAGGGGUACAACUGGGUUGCCACACUGGGGUGAAAGCACAGUUUCCAUGUGUUUGUGUUGAUGUGAACAAGACAUAGUGUCCCUGGGCCUUGUCUUACAACCACAACACCAUGACCAGUCUCUUGUACAGCAGGAUGAAAAACUUGAAUGAUUGGUAUUUGUCAUAAUUCAAAAUAGUCAAAAUGAACCACUGUUCAGAUCAUUGUUCUAAUCAUUUUCAUCUUUUUUUUUUUCCAAGCUAAGAGGGUUCUGGAUCGACAUGGGUCUGUGAAAUGAGAAUCACAAGAUAUCGCUGACUCCCAAAUUGCUUCUUAAGUAAUACUAAAAAUGUUUUUGGCUUCCCAUUCUAAUAUUAAAUUGUAGUAAAAUAUAUGUAACAUAAAAUUUACCAUUUUAACUACUAACUAUUGAAAAGGACUUUGGUUUCAUUUGUGAGUAAUCAACAAGAGAUAAUGUGUGUGAAAGUGUUUUGAUCCUUGUUUGGAAGAAAUGGCAUCAAUGUCAGCAUCCUACCUGAGCAUUCUAUGAAGUAUUCGUCCCCAGAAAUGGAGGGGGAGGACAACCAAUUCUGAAAUGCUUCUUCUCUCCCACUGGAGGCUGGGCUGAUAGCUCUCCGUUUUCAGUUACAAACAAAACACAGUUUGUAUCUGACGGCAAAAUAAUACAUAUUCAUUGUUAAAGAAAAUAAAACCUUGGAAAAUACAGAAGACCACAAAGAAUUGAUUUCUUUUUAAUUUGAUCUCUCUCUCUCUUUCUCUUUGAAAAGAAGAAAAGUUUCAAUAGAGACCUAUUUCCAGAAGAUUACCUAUCAGAAAUAGAACACCCCACUUUACCAUUUGGAUCCUGUUCUCCACUGUGAACAUCUGACUGGUCCUCAGGAGAGACAAUAUGGCUUCCGGUUGACAAGAGGUUUCAAUGAGCAAUAAAGGACCAGCAUCCUAAUCCUACCUGGGCAAUGCCCCACCAUAUGGCCUGGAAAAGUAAUUUAACACCUCAAAAGCACCCUCAUCUGCAAACUGGAGUUGCUCAUGACUAUGCUAUGAGGAGAAAAAUCAAUGAGCUAAUCCAAGAGAGAAAUUGGUGCUGUAUCUAGCAUAUACUAAGUACUCAAAAAAAAAAAAAAAAGUAAAAAGAUGCCUUUUCAAUACAUGUCCUAGAAGCUGAAUUUGUGUCAACUACCCCUUGAGUGAUCACUAAAGCCUGGGGGUAAUUCAGAUACUGGUGCUAAGUUACUUUUCUGAAAAAGAUGGCAUACUGAAAGCUCAAUUCUGGAUGCUCUUUUUUCUUUUCCUUUUACUGCUCCCCCACCCCAUGCCAUUAACUUGCCUCAGGCUAUCAGACUCUUGGGACACUAGAGCAGUGUGACUCAUGGGUAUGUGAAGGGAACCUCAUCAGGUUUCCAUCUUUCUGCUGUGUUAGAUGGGAAGUGCCAUAUGCCAAGAAGAGUGAGGAUGUGCCUCUUGUAAGGUUGGGAAUGAAUUUUUCCCUACUGCACUGAGCUCUCCGAAAGAUACUUUAUUCCCACGCUUUGUUCCAAAUGAUAUUGCUAUCAGCAGGAGAAAGCAAGAUCCAGUGAUAGGAUUAGAUAGACCCUCAGUCUGUCAAUCAGCAAAGAAGGAACCAAUCUAGCCUGACACUUGCUUUAAUUGAAGGAAGUGGCUAGGAAGCAGAGCAUGCAGAGGUGAACUGCAUCCCUGCACCCUGCAUCUAACCUGGGACCCUCUUGACCUCACCCCUUUUUACUAUAUAAAGGAAGACACUGAGCUUUGUCUUAGUUUUGAUCUUAUAGCUUCUGUGAAACCCAUGAUUCUUUCUCUUAUGGGAUGCUGAGACUUCCUGGUUAACUUUGUUGAAUGGUUAUAAAUCCAUCUCUUGAUUCCUAAAUCCACGUAAUUCAUGGCAUUCUCAAGUGACAGCAUUUUAGGCAACCAACCAUAGAAAGAAGCAUUCAUCUAGGAACUAGGAAGUUUGAACUCUUGUUUUGUCCACCAAAGCUAGAAAUCCUUCAAGUAGGCUCCAUGCUACAGGGUCCACAGGAUUUCCUCCACUCAGGGAGGAGACUACAACUGUGGCAAUAAGUAUUUUAUGAGCCCUGACUACAAGUUGGUUAUUACUGAAGAUCUGGUGCCAUUAGUUAAGAGGGGGAGGAAAUGCAUUCUUUAGCAAUCUGGACCUGGCAUCUAAAAUUUAAUAUCUGUCACUGAGAGCCGACAUGUUGGCUGUCACUCAUCUAUGAAUGUGGGUCCACUAGAUAGCAGGAAGCUUAAUUUCAGGAAUUUUUAUUGUUUGAGUGAUUAUAUCACUCACCCCUUCACUCUUUAGAAAGGGAAAGUGAAGCCCAGAGAAGUGAAUUAGCUCAAGCUUAUCACCCAGCUUAUUACGCUCAUCCUUGAACACAGGGCUCCUGACUGCUAGACUGGGUUCAUCUAAUUUUGGAAAGUAGUACUUAUUACUUGGGCAAAUAUGCCUUCCUCAUCAUUACUAAGCCUCUUCCAUCUCACCCUGGACAUCAUAUUCAAGCACCCAUUAGACAGAAUCAUACCUAGCAAAAUGGACACCCUGUGUACUUAUGGUGGAAGGAAUAUUGGUGCUGUCUGAAAGUGUGUGUGUUCCUUACUUAUGUCCUGACUCAAGGAACGCAGUCUCCAGGUAUCCUCAAGAUGUAGGCCAAAGGCUCAUGUAGGGAUGUAGCUAGAGUGGAAACAGCUCAAGUAACUAAUCAUAGAGGCCUGGGGACUUUAAUUAUGGCAUAUGCAUUGACAGGUAGUAUCUGAUUAUGUGAGAAUAUUUACCAAUAUGGGAAAAUGUUCAUAUAUUCUGAUUGGAAAAGAAAAUGAUAUACAAAUAAUAGAAGACUAGAAGAAAUGUGCCAAAACACUAAUAGUGAUUACCUCUGGCUGCUAGGGUUAUAGAUGACUUUUUUUUCACACACAUAUGUCUUCUGUAAUAAAUGAUAUAGAUUUGAUUGUACCUCUUUUGUACCCAGAUGUACAACUUUAUGCAUAGUGACUCAGCCUAAGGGACCAUGUUUCAGGUUGGUCAAUGCUCCAGCCUUCCUGAUAGUCUUCUUGGUUGAUGACUGACUGGUAGACUGUCCUCCUCUUAUCUGCUCUGAAGAUUAUCACUACUGUUUCUCUUCUGUGUACAUUUCCUCUUGAUCAAGUUAUCCAUUACUUAGAACAUGAUGGAGUCAAGAAGGUAAUAAGACUUGUGGAUGAUGAUGAUGAUGAUGAUGAUGAUGAUGAUGAUGAUGAUGAUAUACAGAAAAUGAUCUUGAUAAAACCCUGAAAUGUAUUGUGAAAGGCAGGAAAGCAUGUUUUCUAUCCUAAAGUCGUGGUAAGGGCAAGAGGUACAAAAGGGGAAUUUUGCUGGGUGUGUCUCUAGGCUCUAACAUAUUUCCAGGCCUGUUUCUAAGCUCCCAAACCACUUGUUCCUGGCCAUGUGAUGAUGGAUCUCUGCUGAAGGAAGAGCCCAGGAACUAGAGAAGAAAACUGGGACAGACAUAUGACCCAAAGAGAAUACUGGGAAGAAAGAAGCAAAGCCAAGCUCCUGUGUGGACAUGUGAGGGGUACCCUUCAUGGUCUCUACCUCGUGGACGUGUCCAGUGGUUUUCUUUUAACCUGAAGGAUAUUAUUUUAUUGCUUCAAGGGUUUGUUGAAGAAAAUCAAAUCCUUGAGAGAACUGGUCUUUGCAAAGGGAUUUUUUUUUGCCCCAACCCAUGCUGAGCUUCUGAGAGAGCUCCAAGCCCACUUUCCUGCCCUGGUCCAUGUGCCUGGCUGUGUCCUCCAUUUUGUUCUUAGAAACCCCUUUCAACACACUCACAGGAACAGGGAAGGGCAUGCUACCCAUCUCUAGGGUCAGCUGCAGCUGAGGUUCUAGGAUGUAGUCCAACAAAAUCUCCUGAAUCAGUGAGGAACGGGGACAAUCAUCACUUAACAGAAUCAAUCCAGGGCUCUUGGUCCUCAACAGUUGGUAGUCUCUCACUGUGGACUUAAAAUCCUCUUGUCAGGAAACCCAGGGGAACAUGAGUUGUAAGCAUAGAGUUCAAAAUUAAGUAUGGUGGUUGGGGAAAUGGUGCUUCGGGGACAGUUAAUGAAAUGAAAUAGAGGGAAAUCCUCAAUUUUUUUCACAGUAAUUAAACUACAGAGGUAUAUCUUGAAGCCUACAAAAAAUCAUCCUAACCCCAGGGAUCUCUGGUGAGCUCUGCUUUUCUGUUCUAAUAUGUGUUUAGCCAAAACAGCUUCACAAUGAACAAUAUGAAUUGGCUUAUGUUUCCCAAUAGGGCAAGAGAAACAGUUCAAACGUCAGUGCCAGGUUAAAACCAUGAAACCCGUGCUUACAUUGCCAGAGCUGGCCAGAUCCACUUCUCCUGGCUCUAGACCUCACGGCCCUCUUGAACAUCAACCUACCGAAUUGGCAGAAAUGUUAUCCAAAGGGAGAGAAAAGGGAAAUUGCAUGGAAAUGAAGGGAGACCCUCAUUGCUAUACAAAAUUACAUAUAAGAGGUUGUGAGGGGAAUGGAAAAAUAAACAAGGAGAGAAAUGAAUUGCAGU